UACGUAGGGGGCGAGCGUUGUCCGGAGUUAUUGGGCGUAAAGGGCUCGUAGGCGGUUUGUCGCGUCGGGAGUGAAAUCCACUGGCUUAACUGGUGGCUUGCUUUCGAUACGGGCAGACUGGAGGUAUGCAGGGGAGAACGGAAUUCCUGGUGUAGCGGUGAAAUGCGCAGAUAUCAGGAGGAACACCGGUGGCGAAGGCGGUUCUCUGGGCAUGUCCUGACGCUGAGGAGCGAAAGUGUGGGGAGCGAACAGG
rnacentral:rRNA from 1 species